rnacentral:rRNA from 1 species
CAGUCGCCGCGGGAAUACGUAGGGUGCGAGCGUUGUCCGGAAUUACUGGGCGUAAAGAGCUCGUAGGCGGUUUGUCGCGUCGUCUGUGAAAUUCUGCAGCUUAACUGUAGGCGUGCAGGCGAUACGGGCAGACUUGAGUACUACAGGGGAGACUGGAAUUCCUGGUGUAGCGGUGAAAUGCGCAGAUAUCAGGAGGAACACCGGUGGCGAAGGCGGGUCUCUGGGUAGUAACUGACGCUGAGGAGCGAAAGCGUGGGUAGCGAACAGGAUUAGAUACCCCCGUAGUCCCUGUCUCUUAUAC